rnacentral:rRNA from 1 species
GAUGAACGCUAGCGGCAGGCUUAACACAUGCAAGUCGAGGGGUAGAAGUCUUCGGACUUUGAGACCGGCGCACGGGUGCGUAACGCGUAUGCAAUCUGCCUUGUACAAAGGGAUAGCCCAGAGAAAUUUGGAUUAAUACCUUAUAGUAUAUAGAUGUGGCAUCACAAUUAUAUUAAAGAUUUAUCGGUACAAGAUGAGCAUGCGUCCCAUUAGCUAGUUGGUAUGGUAACGGCAUACCAAGGCAAUGAUGGGUAGGGGUACUGAGAGGGAGAUCCCCCACACUGGUACUGAGACACGGACCAGACUCCUACGGGAGGCAGCAGUGAGGAAUAUUGGUCAAUGGGCGCAAGCCUGAACCAGCCAUGCCGCGUGCAGGAUGAAGCAUCUAUGGUGUGUAAACUGCUUUUGUACGGGAAGAAACACCUCUUCGUGAAGAGGCUUGACGGUACCGUAAGAAUAAGGAUCGGCUAACUCCGUGCCAGCAGCCGCGGUAA